rnacentral:misc_RNA from 1 species
UGAGAUGGGUUUUGACACAGAGACUAGUAGAUCUCUGUUUGACAAGCGUUGGAGUUUUCCACGAGAGUUUUCUGUCAAUUAAUCUUGUUCAAAAGUCGUUAUUUAAUUGCCAGUUUCUUGUGAGUCAAACGAAAUACGUCAAUGGCUGCGGAAGAAAAUUACGAGCAGUUCGAAGAUGAGGAGACGGAGAUUCCGAUCGGAGGAACGCUUCCGGGUGGAAGAAAACGGUUAUUUUCAAAGGAGCUCCGUUGCAUGAUGUACGGAUUUGGCGAUGACCAAAAUCCAUACACCGAAAGCGUUGACUUUCUGGAAGAUUUGGUGAUCGAAUUCAUCACCGAAAUGACCCACAGGGCAAUGGAAAUUGGACGCACAGGCAGAGUGCAAGUCGAAGACAUUGUCUUCCUUGUGAGGAAAGAUUCUAGAAAAUACGCCAGAGUUAAGGAUCUGCUGACAAUGAAUGAGGAGCUUAAAAAAGCAAGGAAAGCCUUUGACGAAGUGAAAUACGCAGGUACUGUCAAUCAGUAGGAAACCGGUUGAUUGAUAUUAUCAAGUAAAAACAAAAAUAUCAUUGGUAGAGAAUAACAUCGUGCGGUGAAAAGAAAUACCUUGGUUAAAGAAGGAGAAGGAAAUGUGUAAAAAUACUUGUAUGGGCGCAAAUCAACUAUGAGAAUGGUCUGCCAAUUGCAAUUUUCUGCAAUUUUCAAUUGGGCUUUGACACAGCCUAUUUAAUAUCACUGCGACAUGAUCAUCGAAUUCCAGACUGCAACCAGAUUCUCGAUUUUAACGGAGUGAUAUGUUUGAUGCAGUACAGAGUGAGUUUCUUGACUUGUUGAAGAAUAAUUCAUCUCCGUAUGUAUGUACAUAUAUUUAUGUGUCUAUUUGUGAUAACUGGAUUGAAUUUAUUUGUACAUUCAUGUAACUUGCUCAGGAUUUUACCAAUAAUCAAUGUAUGGGCGUUGUA